rnacentral:rRNA from 1 species
AGAGUUUGAUCCUGGCUCAGAGCGAACGCUGGCGGCGUGCCUAACACAUGCAAGUCGAACGUGAAAGGGAGCAAUCCUGAGUAAAGUGGCGUACGGGUGAGUAACACGUAGGUAAUCUACCCCAGAAUCCGGAAUAACCUGCCGAAAGGCGGGCUAAUACUGGAUAGAGCGACGGAAUCCGUAAUUGGGUUUUUCGGGAAAGGGAGGACGUAAGUCCCUUCGUUCUGGGAUGAGCCUGCGUCUGAUUAGCUAGUUGGCGGGGUAAUGGCCCACCAAGGCGAUGAUCGGUAGCUGGUCUGAGAGGAUGAUCAGCCACACUGGAACUGAAACACGGCCCAGACUCCUACGGGAGGCAGCAGUGGGGAAUCUUGCGCAAUGGACGAAAGUCUGACGCAGCCACGCCGCGUGAGUGAAGAAGGCCUUCGGGUUGUAAAGCUCUGUCGGACGGGACGAAAAUACUUAGGGUGAAUAGCCCUAGGGACUGACGGUACCGCCAAAGGAAGCACCGGCUAACUUCGUGCCAGCAGCCGCGGUAAUACGAGGGGUGCAAGCGUUGCUCGGAAUUAUUGGGCGUAAAGGGUAGGUAGGUGGUCUCGUUUGUCUGGGGUGAAAUCCUUGAGCUUAACUCAAGAAGUGCCCUAGAAACGGCGAGACUGGAGUCCUGGAGAGGGUCGUGGAAUUCCCGGUGUAGCGGUGAAAUGCGUAGAGAUCGGGAGGAACACCAGAGGCGAAGGCGGCGACCUGGACAGGUACUGACACUCAACUACGAAAGCGUGGGGAGCAAACAGGAUUAGAUACCCCGGUAGUCC